AGAGUUUGAUCCUGGCUCAGGACGAACGCUGGCGGCGUGCUUAACACAUGCAAGUCGAACGGAAAGGCCCUUCGGGGUACUCGAGUGGCGAACGGGUGAGUAACACGUGGGUGAUCUGCCCUGCACUUUGGGAUAAGCCUGGGAAACUGGGUCUAAUACCGAAUAGGACCGCGCGCUUCAUGGUGUGUGGUGGAAAGCUUUUGCGGUGUGGGAUGGGCCCGCGGCCUAUCAGCUUGUUGGUGGGGUAAUGGCCUACCAAGGCGACGACGGGUAGCCGGCCUGAGAGGGUGACCGGCCACACUGGGACUGAGAUACGGCCCAGACUCCUACGGGAGGCAGCAGUGGGGAAUAUUGCACAAUGGGCGCAAGCCUGAUGCAGCGACGCCGCGUGAGGGAUGACGGCCUUCGGGUUGUAAACCUCUUUCACCAGGGACGAAGCGCAAGUGACGGUACCUGGAGAAGAAGCACCGGCCAACUACGUGCCAGCAGCCGCGGUAAUACGUAGGGUGCGAGCGUUGUCCGGAAUUACUGGGCGUAAAGAGCUCGUAGGUGGUUUGUCGCGUUGUUCGUGAAAACUCACAGCUUAACUGUGGGCGUGCGGGCGAUACGGGCAGACUAGAGUACUGCAGGGGAGACUGGAAUUCCUGGUGUAGCGGUGGAAUGCGCAGAUAUCAGGAGGAACACCGGUGGCGAAGGCGGGUCUCUGGGCAGUAACUGACGCUGAGGAGCGAAAGCGUGGGGAGCGAACAGGAUUAGAUACCCUGGUAGUCCAA
rnacentral:rRNA from 1 species